rnacentral:rRNA from 1 species
AUUGAACGCUGGCGGCAUGCCUUACACAUGCAAGUCGAACGGCAGCACGGGUGCUUGCACCUGGUGGCGAGUGGCGAACGGGUGAGUAAUACAUCGGAACAUGUCCUGUAGUGGGGGAUAGCCCGGCGAAAGCCGGAGUAAUACCGCAUACGAUCUACGGAUGAAAGCGGGGGACCUUCGGGCCUCGCGCUAUAGGGUUGGCCGAUGGCUGAUUAGCUAGUUGGUGGGGUAAAGGCCUACCAAGGCGACGAUCAGUAGCUGGUCUGAGAGGACGACCAGCCACACUGGAACUGAGACACGGCCCAGACUCCUACGGGAGGCAGCAGUGGGGAAUUUUGGACAAUGGGCGAAAGCCUGAUCCAGCAAUGCCGCGUGUGUGAAGAAGGCCUUCGGGUUAUAAAGCACUUUUGUCCGGAAAGAAAUCCUUGGCCCUAAUACGGUCGGGGGAUGACGGUACCGGAAGAAUAAGCACCGGCUAACUACGUG